UGAAAAACAGUCAGCAAUAAGUGUCAAUUUAUACUAGCACUGAGUCGAAGCGCAUUGAAGCAACUUACCAAAUUGAACAUAACAAAUCCAACCUUAACUCCAGAGCUGGAGCGUAAUCCACACAUUACUUCUGAGAUUUUAAAAAGACGCGCACAUUCUCGCGAGUUCUCGCGUCUGCGGGCGACCAACGCUGAUUCGUAUCACGCAGAAUCGUAGAAGUAAUGUGUGCGUUAUGCUCUGGAGUUUAGGUUGAAUUUGUUAUGUUAAUUUUUUGCUAAGAUAUUUCGAUGCGCUUUGAUUCUGUACUAGUAUAAAUUGACCCUUAGCCCGGGCGCGCA